rnacentral:rRNA from 1 species
GAGUUUGAUCCUGGCUCAGGAUGAACGCUGGCGGCGUGCCUAAUACAUGCAAGUCGAACGCACAGCGAAAGGUGCUUGCACCUUUCAAGUGAGUGGCGAACGGGUGAGUAACACGUGGACAACCUGCCUCAAGGCUGGGGAUAACAUUUGGAAACAGAUGCUAAUACCGAAUAAAACUCAGUGUCGCAUGACACAAAGUUAAAAGGCGCUUUGGCGUCACCUAGAGAUGGAUCCGCGGUGCAUUAGUUAGUUGGUGGGGUAAAGGCCUACCAAGACAAUGAUGCAUAGCCGAGUUGAGAGACUGAUCGGCCACAUUGGGACUGAGACACGGCCCAAACUCCUACGGGAGGCUGCAGUAGGGAAUCUUCCACAAUGGGCGAAAGCCUGAUGGAGCAACGCCGCGUGUGUGAUGAAGGCUUUCGGGUCGUAAAGCACUGUUGUAUGGGAAGAACAGCUAGAAUAGGGAAUGAUUUUAGUUUGACGGUACCAUACCAGAAAGGGACGGCUAAAUACGUGCCAGCAGCCGCGGUAAUACGUAUGUCCCGAGCGUUAUCCGGAUUUAUUGGGCGUAAAGCGAGCGCAGACGGUUGAUUAAGUCUGAUGUGAAAGCCCGGAG